rnacentral:rRNA from 1 species
AUUGAACGCUGGCGGCAUGCCUUACACAUGCAAGUCGAACGGCAGCACGGGAGCAAUCCUGGUGGCGAGUGGCGAACGGGUGAGUAAAGUAUCGGAACGUGCCCAGUCGUGGGGGAUAACGUAGCGAAAGUUACGCUAAUACCGCAUACGAUCUAUGGAUGAAAGCGGGGGAUCGCAAGACCUCGCGCGAUUGGAGCGGCCGAUAUCAGAUUAGGUAGUUGGUGGGGUAAAGGCUCACCAAGCCGACGAUCUGUAGCUGGUCUGAGAGGACGACAAGCCACACUGAGACGGAGACACGGCCCAGACGCCUACGGGAGGCAGCAGUGGGGAAUUUUGGACAAUGGGCGAAAGCCUGAUCCAGCCAUGCCGCGUGCAGGAUGAAGGCCUUCGGGUUGUAAACUGCUUUUGUACGGAACGAAAAGGUUUGGCCUAAUAAGCUGAGCUCAUGACGGUACCGUAAGAAUAAGCACCGGCUAACUACGUGCCAGCCGCCGCCGUAA